rnacentral:lncRNA from 1 species
ACGUUGCAUCAUCACAUGAGAGUCAUAACUUUUUAUACUGGAGAUAUUACCAUCGUUGUUCCCAAUACACCACGAUACAUUUGAAGCAUUUGCAUCAGAAAACUUUACAAUUUUAAAUCAUCCACAGAAAAUUUUCUUUUCCUCCCCAAACAGCGAAUAACAUGCGGGUGGUAUAAAAAAUCUCUCACCUUGAUGAACUAAAUACAACUC